AUAAAUCACAAUGCGGAACUUCUGUUUUGCAAUUGGAUUGAGAACAACGCACAACACUUAUCGAUAAACAAUUGGAGGGCAAGUCUGGUGCCAGCAGCCGCGGUAAUUCCAGCUCCAAUAGCGUAUAUUAACGUUGUUGCAGUUAAAAAGCUCGUAGUUGAAGUGAAGUGUGAAUCUCUUGGAUUUUCGUUCGAAUUUCCUUUAGCUUCAUACUCUUUCCAAAUAGUUUGCAUGGGUAUUUACUUAUCUGUGUAUUGCAUUUGGUCAUUUACUGUGAGAAAAUUAGAGUGUUCAAAGCAUACGUUUGUUUGAAUACAUUAGCAUGGAAUAAUUCGAAAAGGCUUUCAUGUUCGAUUUGAUUGGUUUGUUCGUGAAGGCAAGAUUAAAAGGGACAGUUGGGGGUAUUCAUAUUCAAUAGUCAGAGGUGAAAUUCUCGGAUUUAUGGAAGAUGAACAAGUGCGAAAGCAA
rnacentral:rRNA from 1 species